rnacentral:lncRNA from 1 species
AUUCCAUUGAGUGAACAUGCUGUAUUUUGUGUAUUCAUCAGCUGGUGGGCUUUAGGCUGGUUUUCACCUCUCAACUGUUAGUGCUGAUGUCAACACUGGUCUGCAAGUUUCUAUGUGGGCGUGUUUUCCCUUCACCAGGACACAUGUUAAGAAGGGGUGCUGCUGGGUCAUGUAGCAACUCUGCAUUCAUAUGUUGGAGGAGCUGCAGACUGUGUCCCAAGUGCCUGCACCACUUUCUUUACACUCCUACCCGUAACUUAUGAGGGCUCUGUUCUUCAUGUCUGCACCAACACCUGUCACUUCCUGUCAUUGAUUACAGCUAGUUUUUCAACAGACAAAGGAUCUGAAAGAACACUUCACAAAGAUGAUAUACAAAUGGACAACAAAUAUAUGAAAAGAUGUUCAACAGUAAUCAGGGAAAUACAAGAUCAUGUGUCAUUUUAACGCUGAGUAAUAUUACAUUGUGUAUAUAUACCAGUUUCUUUAUCCAUUCAUCUACUGAAGGGCAUCUAGGUUGGUUCCACAAUUUAGCUAUUGUGAAUUGAGCUGCUAUAAUCAUUGAUGUGGCUGUGUCCCUAUAAUAUGAUGAUUUUAAGUCCUUUGGGUAUAGAGCAAGGAGUGGGAUAGCUGGGUCAAUGGUGGUUUCAUUCCAAGUUUUCUAAGGAAUCUCCAUACUGCUUUCCAUAGUAGUUGCACCAGUUUGCAGUCCCAUUACAAUGUGUGAGUGACUGUACCUUUUCCUCCACAUUCUCUCCAACACUUACUAUUGCUUGAAUUCUUGAUAAUUGCCGUUCUAACCAGAGUGAGAUGAAAUCUUAGAGUAGUUUUGAUUUUCAUUUCUCUAAUUGCUAGAGAAGUUGAACAGUUUUUCAUAUAUUUGUUAAUCGAUUGCAUAUCUUCUUCUGAGAAGUGUCUGCCACAUCUAAUUAUUUAUGUGUGGUUUAGGUCUUCCAUUUCUCUGUUGAUCAUCUGCC